rnacentral:rRNA from 1 species
AAACCAGCACCUCAAGUGGUCAGGAUGAUUAUUGGGCCUAAAGCAUCCGUAGCCGGCUCUGUAAGUUUUCGGUUAAAUCUGUACGCUUAACGUACAGGCUGCUGGGAAUACUGCAGGGCUAGGGAGUGGGAGAGGUAGACGGUACUCGGGAGGAAGUGGUAAAAUGCUUUGAUCUCUCGAUGACCACCUGUGGCGAAGGCGGUCUACCAGAACACGUCCGACGGUGAGGGAUGAAAGCUGGGGGAGCAAACCGGAUUAGAUACCCGGGUAGUCC